AUUCAAAAAGGUUAUUGCUACACUUACAUUGGUUUGGUUUUGUAUGGUCCUAUUCUGUGUGCCAAACCCUAAGGCCUCUCCCAAUCAAUUUGUAUUAGUCUUUUAGACUUUGUGAAAUACUAAUCAAAUAGGCCAAAGAAAAACAAGGAAGUCGCCUUUUUCUCAUCUUCCCACUGCAUAUUCUUCCAUCUGUUUUUAUUUGCUGGCCAUUGUAAUCAUGGGUCCUUUCAGCCAUCAUUACAAUGGAAAGCCUUCUCUCUCUUUUCUUUCAUAUGCAAUUACACAUUACUUCAUGUCUUCUUCUAUAUAAUUCCCAUUUUCUUUCUCAUGGGUUCUUCACCCAUACCUUUCCAUCUUCCAUUGCCCUUUUUCUUUUCCUCUCUUUCUUUCUCAGAGUAAAAGAAGCCAAAAAUGUGUACUAACUCUUCAAAACUGAGCAUAUGCGGUUCCUUUUAUGUUGCUCUUAGCAAUCCAAAGCUAUUAAGAGGAAGAAACCGCCCGUGUCGCCGAUUAUUAAGCUGCAGAAGAAGGAGGUGGUUAAAACAAGCAAAGGAGAAUAAAAUGGCAGUUGCAAAGAAAGAGAUGGAAAUCAAGAACUUGAAACUUUAUAUGAAGAACAAAAGCAUCAUAGAAGAGAACGAGAAGCUAAGAAAGAAAGCUUUACUUCUACACCAGGAGAAUCAAGCCUUAUUAUUUCAGCUUCAAACUCUCAACAGUAAAAACCAUUUACUAUAAUAAUAUGAGAACGUGAGAAGAAGAAGCGUAGGAAGGAAAGAGGGGGAUUUAUAUAUAUUUAGUUUCUUUUCUUCUCUUACUUGAUUAGGGAUUCCUUAUAUUAAUUAUUUAGUCUCUUCAUGCUGUUUUAAUCUUUUUCUCUAUCUUUUGUAACUUUCCUUCUUUCUUUUAACCUACAAGCUUAAGCUAUUUCUGCAUUUAUGUGACAAAUAAAUUUGAAAUAUAGUGUACUUUAUGAAA